GUCGCUUCUCGGCCUUUUGGCUAAGAUCAAGUGUAGUAUCUGUUCUUAUCAGUGGUUUAGUCUCUGGCCAUUGAUGUAGGAUGGAUGGCUGCAUGGAGGAGAAGGUGUUCCGGGGCUGGUGCCACAUAACCAGCUCAACGGCUGCCCUGAUGUGACCUGUUUCCUCUGGGUCUCGCCAUGAGGUU